rnacentral:lncRNA from 1 species
UCCAUGCACUGUCCAAUAAUCAUCAUAAGUCCCAUGAGCAUUUAUAACACAGUAGUUCUUAGCCCGGAAUAUCAUGUAAAAAUGUCAUUUGAGUUUCAAAACUUAGAAAAUAUGGUUGAGGUUGGAAAACAAUGUUUAAAGACUGUGGACUGUACCAAAUGAUAUGCAAGUGUAUAUAGCAACAACAAUAUCAAUCCCCGAAGGAUUCUAUAAAUUGGUACGAGGCCGAAAUAUGGCAACAAGCCCAAAUAAUAUAAGUAGAAUAUUGUGUUUCAAUCACCAAUAUAUUGUAAAUCUCACUCGGGAUGGACCCAGUCACAAUCCCCACUAGUAACCGACCCCGCACUUGUCAUGGAGUGUGUGUCACGCCUCAAUAUAGCAUUACGAGGUGAAUGUCCGGGGUUUUAAACCCUCCGAACAGUAUUUACAAGUAUUACUGAACUCUAGCCGGCCGAAGACAAGUCCGCAAUUCCCGUUCCUGUCAAAUCGACCUCCUCGCGCGUCAAAUUUGGCCAAAACCACAAUGAAUACAUCACAAUAGGCUAAAGGAAUAUAACCGAAUCGAAAAGACUUGAAAUAUUAAAAAUUGCAAAAUAAGCAAAACUGGAGCCCCCGACGAACUUUUCGAAAUCAAGAAAAUUUUACACAAAAAUGUUCCUCAUCUCGCCACGAGUCUAUACGUAUAAAACUCAUCAAAAUCGGAGCUCCAAUGGGCCAUCAAAUCCCAGUUUCUCAUUCAAAAAUCCAAGCUCUUGUUCUUUCCCUUUUUACUCAAAUUCCAUAUCAAAAUUAGAUGAUGUUUCUAGGUCAUAGGUCUUACCUCUAAUUGAUUCCCGAUCAAAUCCCUCGAAAAAUCUCGUCAAAGGCUUCCAAGAUUGCUUAAAAUGGUGGAAAAUAGACUUAGUUCGCGAAUGAAAUGUUGUUAAAAUCUAUCUGCCUAGAUCACCAAUCAUCCUUCGCGAACGCGGAGCCCACCCACGAACGCGAUGCAUCAACUGGACCCAACUACACAAACGCGGCACCUAGUCGCGAACGCAAUGCACAAGGUUAAGGAUGCCAUAGGUUGAUAGAUGACUACUUGAUCCUUUCGUAGGUCUUCCUAUCCAUUUCUUACUUAAUUGCUCAGUUAUUACUUGCUCGGUUGUUACUUGAUCAGCAUUACAUCCUCAAAUCAUCAUCACCAUCUUCCAAAUUAUAGUCGGGGUCACUAAAGUCUUCAUCAUCACUACCAUCUCUAAUACUCUUACCAUCUUGAAUUCUACUUAAAAAAAAAAAUCAAUAUUAAACACAAUAGCUGCAGAGAUUUCAUUGAACGAUAGACCUAAAUUGAUAUUUGAACCCUAGACAUACAUAAAAUUUAAAGGUACAAAAUAAAAAUAGAUAAUAUGAAAAAAUUCUAACCCCUUAAUACUAUCCAAAUAUACAAAAUAAUACUAAAAUAAAGAUAAACCCUAUCCCACAAUCGUUGUCAUAAUAUAGAAAUUUUCUAAAAUAAAGCAAAAAACCUUAGUAUAUAAUGAGUGCCGCCAACUAAAUUCAAACAAAUAAAUGCAACACAAACAAAAAAUAAAAUUUUUACCUCUUUUGGAAUCAUUCUUAGUGCAGAAGUAUUUUUGUGGUCACUAAGUACAUCAAAAGUAUUAUGGUUGUCUGUUAAAAUACUCCUCUGAUAUGGAGAGGAAGCCAUACUUAAGACCUCUGCUUGAGAGCCUCGAAACAUCAUUGCUUGAGAAGAGAAUUGAGAUAGUUGUAUGUAUUUUGCUGAUCCUUGCUUAAGAGCCCUAAAACACACUUGAGAAACAAC